GACGAACCGUGCGAACGUUGUUCGGAUUUCACUGGGCUUAAAGGGCGCGUAGGCGGCUUGCCAAGUCAGGGGUGAAAUCUUUCGGCUUAACCGGAAAAGUGCUUCUGAUACUGGUGGGCUGGAGGGAGGUAGGGGCAGAUGGAACUUCCGGUGGAGCGGUGAAAUGCGUAGAUAGUCGGAAGGAACGCCGGUGGCGAAAGCGGGUCUCUGGGCCGUAACUGACGCUGAGGAGCGAAAGCGUGGGGAGCGAACAGG
rnacentral:rRNA from 1 species